UUUAUUUGACUAAAACGGUAAAGAAAAUGUAGAGAGAAUGUAAGAGCAUGUUUCCAUACAACCCGAUGUUGCCUAUAAAAGAAAACGGUCUUCCGUAAACUUCAUAACGUUAAUUCCUCUAAGCGAGCUGUCAUAACCAUACUAAAUAAUGACAAUUUCACCUGUCUUGGCGUCGUUGGACGCCGGUUUUGACUUUGACUAUAAGGUUUUCGUCACCCUAGACUGAGUUAGUCUAACUGUAGCGAACAGUUGAGGUGUGGGGUGUCAACCCCGUAUAGAUCUAUACACAAAUCCCCGUUCUCCCUCCAAGAGACUUUGGUUAUAACUACAGGCUACGAUUGUACACUUAAUAGGUGCCAACCGACAAAAACUCGCUAGAUCCUUAAUCGAAUUUACGCGAAGAGAAAAUGUAUAAACUCAUUCCAGGACCAAUGAUCCAUGUAAGUGAACCACUAAGGCAUCGCUAAACAUGUAAAUCAUUUCAAGACCUAAAGGGAAUGAGAUUAUAUAACAUGGGCCCGAAAUAUAUAUGAAAGGACAACUAAGGCCCAUUUCACAUGUAAAGUAUUUACAGGCCCAAUUGGCACACGAAUAGUAUCCAAGGUCCGUCGCACAUGUUAAUGGGUCAAUGAGGCCCAAUAACAUAUACAGGACCUCUCACACAUAAAAAAUGGGUCACUAAGGCCCAAUAACCUAGAAAUGAUCAAAUUAAAUUAUUUGUUGGUUUAUCAUUGGUUUUAGUUCAAGUGUUCACUAAACUAGCAUAAAAAGAAGAACGUAUAUAAAACCCAUUCCAGGCCCAAUAAACAUGUAAGUGGACCACUAAGGGCCACUAUACGUGUCUAUUAUUUCCAGGCUCAAAGGAAUGUGAAUGUCUAUCCUAAGCCCAAUAUACAUGUAAAAGGACACUAAGGCCCACUAAACAAGUAUAUUAUUUCUAGGCCCAAUAAGGAUAUGAAUACCUAUCCCGAGCCCAAUAUACAUGUAAAAGGACACUAAGGCCCACUAAACAAGUAUAUUAUUUCCAGGCCCAAUAAGGAUAUGAAUAUCGUUUUUAACCCGUUUGUUAUUGUUUUGUUUAUUUUAACUUGAUUAUUUACAUAAUUGAUAUAUAAAGCCCACUUUUUGUAAAAAUGACGUUCUUGGCCCAAUAAGCCAAAAGUUUACAAUUAAGGCCCAAUUUUUCUAAGAAUAACACUUUAAUCUCCAAUUUUGUUAAAAACUUGUGUUGAUGACUACUUUGUGAUAAAAAUAGCAUUUUAAACCCAUUUUUGUCAAAAAUAUCAUUUUUGUCUAGGUUUUGUGAAAAUACAUAUUUUUCGUGUUUUUGGCCUUUCCGAACUAGUUUUUAGAAAAUUUGUAGAAAAUUCAUCGUAAGUCGAAAUCUGGAUCCGUAAAUUUUGGAAGUUUGGAAAUUUUGUCUACCUUGUUCACAAUGUUUCUCAUAAUUUUUGAUGACUUCAAACUAGUGUGAAAUUACUCAUCUUCACAGGUUGGUCCGAAAUUAUUUCAAAUAUGAUAGGCAGUUUUGUAAAAUUCGCCAAAAAUUGUAGAAAAAUCGUAUGAAAACGUGAGAGUAGUCAUUUUAAAGGUAUAAAUCUGAACUUUAUCCAUGUAAAAAAGUUUUGAAAAAUACUUCCAUUUGGAUGGUCAAAACAGUCCGAGAUUGGACCAAAAGUUUUCUGUCAAGGGCUGUUUUGUGAGUUUAGUUUAUAGAUCUUUGAACACAACACUUAUUUUUGCUAUAUCAAGUAUAAAAAUACCAGAUCUACAUGUUUACAUGUAAUACUUGUGAUAAAACAUACUUUUCUCAAGAUUCAUAUGAAGAUCCUAGUGAUAAACUUCAUGUUUCUUAACAUAUUUUUAGAUUAGUAAAGAAAUCAACUCAUAAUCACCAAAUGUUUCAAGAAAACACACAUAAUCAUGUAUGUAUACAUAGAUCUACAGAUAAGACUUGUAUUCUCCCCCAAAAAAACAAGUAAAAACAGAAAACAAGGGGGUAUGAACUCAUUUUGGGGUGUUGGAUUCGGUUUUUGGUGAAGAGGUGAGUAGAUCUCGGCCCUAGCAAACUCCUUGAGGAUGUUUACGAACUUAAAGGGUUCUAUGAUCAUGACCCACGAAAAUAUGGUGUAAGAGGAGUGAUUUGAGUUUAAAGAUGUAGUGAAUCAACUUAGGUUGUGAGAUCUUACCAAGGAUGAUGAUCUUUGAUGAAAACUCCUCUUGAAACACAACCAAAAUCUUGAGAAUUUUGGAGGAAGGAGAUGGAUUAUUCUUGAGAGAAUUGGAUAGAAUUUUGUGUGAUGUGUGUGUGUUUUGGCUCUUGGCCGUGAGUAAUAGAGAGAGAAGAGAGAGGAUGUUUCCUAGAUAUUUGGUGAGUAUUAGUCUCCUAGGAACAUGAUGGAUUUGUGCAUGGAUAUCCCCCAUACACUUGAGGUGGCANNNNNNNNNNNNNNNNNNNNNNNNNNNNNNNNNNNNNUUUUUUUUUUUGUUUUUGGGCCGAAUAUGGGCUAGAGAGAAAGGUGGUGGAUUAACUUGGCCCAUUUCUAGCCUUGGCUCGAAAUUAUGAGGCCCAUAAGAAAUCUUUCGGCCCAUUGGGCUCUUAGGGAGGCUCAUGGCCCAAAAUUGCUAAAGAAAUUAGUUUAGGGCCCAUUAGGGCUAAUUAAAUCCUUUAUGGCCCAUCAUGGCCCAAAAUGUUAUAGAUUUAUGAAUUGGGUCCAAUUAGAACAUAAUUAGGGUUUUUAGGCCCAAAGUAGUUAACUUGGAUACUUAUUGGUCCAUUAGUCCCAACAAGAGAAUCCUAGAACAUAUUAAACUUGAAUCGGGUUUUCUAGGGUUUCCAACCCUUAUUUGAACAUAUGAGAUGUAUUUGAACGAGAAUAGAGUAUAGGAUUUUACAAUGGAUGAUGCUUACACGGGAAUAGAAUUUCCUAGCAAAAUGCCAGUUGUGACAUCAUCCCCCCGUUAGAGGGAAUUUCGUCCCGAAAUUCUUUUGAGAGAUAGGUUCAUGAAUGAGAGAAUAGGUGAGGGUACUUAUGCUUAAUCUAGUCUUUUACGUUCACUUGUGAAUUCCGAUCUACGUUUUGCGUUCCGUUGAUCCUUCACAAUCGGAAUGCGACUUUGUUUUGUACGCUUUACUUCCUUAUCCAAUACAUUGACUGGUUCUUCGACGAACAGGAGAUUCUUGUUUAUUUCGAUCCCUGAUAAAGGAAUGAUAAGAGUUUUGCCUGAUAGGCACUUUUUCAGAUUCGAGACGCUGAACACAGGGUGUACGUUGCUGAGCUCUACAGGCAGCUGCAGUCUAUAAGUCUUUGGACCAAUCCGAGCAAGAAUCUCGAACAAUCCGAUGUAUCGUGAGUUUAGUUUUCUCGGUUCCUAAAACGAAUCGUUCCUUUCCAAGGAGAUUCCUUUAAUAGCACGCGAUCCUCGACUUGACAUCCUAAUGGAUUAUGCUACCUUGUCAGCAUAGCUCUUCUGUCGAUCUCGCGAUGCUUGAAGUCGAGUUGUGAUUUGGAUUAUCUUCUCUGUCGUCUCGCGAAUAGUUUUCUGGUCCCGUGUGAGUACUGACGAGUGAUAUGCAUUUACGACUAUAAAGAGCUUCGAAGAGAGCAACCUUGAUGCUUGUGCGAUAGCUGUUAUGGUAUGAGAAUUCAAUAAAGGGAAACUGGGUAUCCCCUGACUUGAUGAAUUCAAACACCCAGACUUGUAGCAUGAAUUUGAGUGGUUGAAUGGUUCAUUCGCUUUGACUAUUGGUUUGAGGGUGGUAAACAACGCUCGUAUCUAGCUAUGUUCCCAUAGCCUUCUGAAGUGACUGUCAAAAUCUUGAAGUAAUUCCGUUAUCCCGAUCCGAGAUAAUAGAUAUUGAUAUUACAUGGAGUCUCACAAUCUCUUGGAUAUAGAUCCAUGCUAAACUUCCUUCUUGUUUGAUUUCUGUAUUAGCAAGAAAUGGGCAGAUUGGGUUAACCUAUCGACGAUCACCCAGAUAACGCCCAACUCAACUCGCAUACCUAUAAGCUUCGUCUUUCAACUCCGAGAGUUUUAUCCAUCCACGUAGUGUUUUCUUCGCGAUAUUCUCCGACUUUGAUGCUUUCAAGGCUGGUCGUAAAUGUUGACAGUGUUUUGUUCUUGCUUCGUGAGUAGAUGAGUAUGCUAUUGAUGAAAAUAAUGAAAAGGAUGACUAGGAGCGGUUGAGAAAACUUGGUUCGUAGGGUCCAUGAAUACCGUGGGAGCAUUCGCUAGACCGAAGGGUAUCGCAACAUAUUUGAAAUGGUUGUGAUGAAUUCGGAAAGCAGUUUUUUUUUUGGAAUGUCCUCUUCUCGGACUUGAAACUGAUGGUAACUGGAUCUUAGAUCUAUUUUGGAGAAGCAACUAGCUCCUUGGAGCUGGCCAAAUAGAUCGUCAGUCCGAGGGAGUGGGUAUCGAUUUUUGAUAGGGAGCUUAUUCAAUUUCCUAAGAUCGAUGUACCUUUUAAAGGAUCCGUCUUCUUGAAGAACAAGAUCGAAGCUCUCCAGGGUGAGAAGCUUGAUCCGAUGAAUCCUUUGCUCAAAAAUUUUCUUAAUUGACUAGUUAACUCCAGAAUUUUGGCGGAAGCUGACCUAUAGGGUGAAUUGGCAAUUGAUGUGGUUCCCGGUAUGAGGUCGAUUCGAAAUUCGACCUGUCUCCCUGGGAUAUUCCCGAAAGUUCUUCGGAAACACAUCCGGGAAAUCACAUGCUACUGGAAUACCUUGUAUGCUUACUUCAUCCUUGGUCUUGUCCACAACAAGAGUGAGGAAAACGUAGUUCUUCUGGUGCAGGCACUUCUGUGCCUUCAUGCACGAGAUAGGACGAGGAUUGACGUUAGGUUUAUCACCAGGUGUUAUUAGAGUUUCGUGAUUGGGAUGGUGAAGGCAAACGACCUUCUCGUGACACAUAGUAUCAACACGGUGGGGGCUUAACCCAACCAUGCCAAUUAUCACAUCAAAACUCCUAAUAUUUAUUGGCAUUAAAUUUUAUUGGAAAUGAAUGAUUGUUUAGUGUUAAGGUGUACUCCACAAAAAUAUCCUAGGUUACUUCGGUUUUUCCCCAUUGGCCAUGUCCACCGUAAAGGCUUAGCUUAGCUUUGGGGUUGUUGUUUUAGUAAGUGCUCGAAUUUGUUACUAACGAAACUUCACUCAGCUUCACUAUUAAAUAAGGGGUAAGCGGAAGAGUUGUUAAGUGGGAACAUACCAAUAACAACCGUUGGGUCUUGGACUGCUUCGCCUUGACCCAACGUCAGGACCACUUCCGAUCCUUCUGCUCCUUGAUUGUUAUCCUUGGGGAAAUUGCGCCUGAAGUGACGGGUUCCUCCACACCCAUAACAGCUGUGACUGGUCUCAUAAUUGGUGUUGUUGUUAGGGUUGUUGCGAUUGUUGUCGUUUUCAUUUGGAUGGCGAUUCUGGCAUGGAUAAGUUCUACAGAAUUUGGCGGUGUGAUUCUUUCGGUUGCAUUUGUUACAAUGCAUCUCCCGGCAGGCUCCAUUAUGAUGGAAUUUGCACUGGUUGCAUUUUGGAAGGCUUCCAGCAUAUGGUCUCCUAGUUGUUGGUGUAAUAGGGGUCAUGGUCGCAUGAACAGCAACAACAUGUUGCUUCCUUGAGAGCCCUUGAGUGGGUUGUCCCUUUCUCUUAUUUCCAAGAUUUCGCUUCCUGCUCUUAAGCUUGGGGUUUAGUGUGCCUUGACAAGCUGUCACUUGUUGGUUCCCAUGCUUGUUCCUUUGGAUGGAGUUUUCAAUGCUAUUUCCGUCUCCAUUGGGGUUGUUUGCAUUGAUUUGUGCCAUAGCAGCGGUUACUGCCGCCGUUUCAGCAUUGGAAUGUAGCAGAGUCCAUCUGCAGGAGUGGUGUCUCGUGGGUGCGCUUGUUAUUCUUGUGGGAUGGCAUUUUCCUGCUGCACGUGCUUCCAUCUACAUCCCUAUGAUGUAUUUGCGAUAGUAGGUAAUCACAGAUUUGGCACGAUCGUCACGUCUAUCCUUAGAGUAUAUAGGGUGUUUUGGUUUCGAGACCCUUAAGUAUCUAGCGGUUUUGAGGGUUCGGUUGUGCAUAUAAUUGAAUUUAUGUAGUAAUAUGAAAUGAAGAUACCACAUAAUUGUUCCAUUGGUAAGUACCAUCUUAGUACACAAAAGAUAGUCAUAUCGGGUAGUGAGGGGAAAAAGAAAAGGGUUGAUUCUAAUCGUGGCGGAAAAUGUCUGGUGGUCGUGCUGAUGAAGUGGAUGCACCUCGGAGACGAGCUACUUGUUGCUCGGUAUCUCGUAGUCGUACCUCUCAAACUGACUGUCUCGCUCAGGAGUCUCCGUUCACUUCCUGUGUUUGUCUCUUGUCUCUCUCAAUAGCAAACUGCAUUUGUUCCGUUCGAUUUGGGGUGUCCUGUGCUCAGUUAUUAAUACCUCAGGUGCACCGGACCAUGACUGGGAGGGCCCAGUCAGCUGGUCCUCUAUGGCUAAUGGUCGGAGAGACCUCGGUUCCUACCCUAGUGUGGUCGUAUCCCCUACUGGUGACUCUCUAUCUCCAAAUAUUGUGUGCCUAAGGGGGGCAUGGGGCCACCGGUGCCCACACGAUAUGUCGGUACUCUGGCUUUACAUGGAGGAUUGAUGUCAUCGGAUUUUGUAUCCGAGUCAUCAUCAUUAUUGCCCUCUGGGUCUUCCUCUUCGAGGUCCAUUAUUGACUCGGCGGGUUCACCUACAAGUUCUACUUCGUGUUCCUCCUGUGGUUCCUUCUCUGAGUCGAGCCACCCUGCUAUUCCCUGACUAGGGAGAUAGGGGUUCCUUGGCUAAUGAUACUCGUCUAUAGUGUAUUGCACGAAGGGGUAUAAAUACUAGAAACAAAUAGCAUACCAAUUACUCCUAUAGUAAUUUAAUUUUGUUUAGGUUUGAUUCUAUAAGCUCUUUGGAUAAUUAAAUGGUAAGUUUUUGAUUCAUUGUCCAUCACAAUUACUCCCGAACACAUGUUGGUCGUAUUUUGAAUGAAUGUAGUUGAUCAGGCUACAUUCACCCCCAAUACGAUUACAUAAUUGUCCGAGUUUAAUAGUGAUGUUCAAAUCCUCCAAAGACUUUUAUUGUUCUUGUUAUGUUAUUAUUCUAAAAUGCACACAAAGGUAUGUAUUUUAAAUUAUUAUGUUCAGAGUUGUUUAGUCCCAUUGUAUUUAUAGUUACAUAUCCUGUAUGAUUAGACAUGCUAGUUCACUAUAAACAAUGCUCUGAUACCAAUCUGUCACACCCACGAACCAGACGACGGAAACGUUCGGGGGCUUGUGCAUGACUUCAUUUUGAAAUAUCAUUACAGUGAAUAUAAUUGAAACAUAAAAUCAUCAUCAUCACACAUGUAAUAUUACAACAUUCAUUGUUUACAUCGAGUAUUGUAUUUGAAUAUUACAUGCCAAGAUAGUAAGAGUAUGAUGAUAUUACAUGCCAAGAUAGUAAGAGUAUGAUGAAACAAAAUAUAACACAAUAUCCAUCAGUUUGUUUUGUUCAUCCCGCUUCAACGAUUUCCUGAGAAUACAAGUUAUUUUGAAAACGGUCAACAUAAAAAUGUUGGUGAGUUCAUAAGCAUGUUUGUGAAAAUGAUUUGUAUAACUUUGAAAACCACCAGAAAAUCCGAUAUUUUCUGAAAACUGUUUAGUGUGUUUGUAUUAGAUCUUGUAUUAAUGCAUGUAUGUUAUUGUUUAUUUGACUAAAACGGUAAAGAAAAUGUAGAGAGAAUGUAAGAGCAUGUUUCCAUACAACCCGAUGUUGCCUAUAAAAGAAAACGGUCUUCCGUAAACUUCAUAACGUUAAUUCCUCUAAGCGAGAUGUCAUAACCAUACUAAAUAAUGACAAUUUCACAUGUCUGGGCGUCGUUGGACGCCGGUUUUGACUUUGACUAUAAGGUUUUCGUCACCCUAGACUGAGUUAGUCUAACUGUAGCGAACAGUUGAGGUGUGGGGUGUCAACCCCGUAUAGAUCUAUACACAAAUCCCCGUUCUCCCUCCAAGAGACUUUGGUUAUAACUACAGGCUACGAUUGUACACUUAAUAGGUGCCAACCGACAAAAACUCGCUAGAUCCUUAAUCGAAU
rnacentral:lncRNA from 1 species